rnacentral:lncRNA from 1 species
CAAAAAUGUUAGAGAUUGGAAAGAAGUGUUUGAUUUCCUUGUGGAGAGCCCUUGUUUGAUGCCAGCUUCACCUGAACCUGAGGACAAGGAAAUUGCUGAAACGUACAGUCAAUGGCCUGAUUAUCCUCCUGAAUUAAGGUAAAGUUCAAUUCUUACAUUUUGAUGGUGAAAUUUUAGUACUAAACUAUAAUUUGAGGAGAACUCGGAUUAAAAGAGAAUUUUGAUCCUUUAAUAAUGUACAGGUCAAUUUAGCGAGAGUUUUUACUUUUUAAAGCAUCUAAUGGGCAUUUUAAUUUCGUGCUAUCGAAAUUAAUAAGCUGGAGAGCGAGAAAAUAUAACCCGAAUUUUCUCAUGGUUGGAUGGUAGUCACAAACUCACAAUAUAGUCCAUAAGAGGUAUUUAUUGACAAAAUAAACAGCAAUAAGCAGGUGAGUCAUAGUAAAUACCACCAAAUAAUUUUAAUUUGUUGUCGGUCAAUUUGAAAGCUUGUAAUAGUAUUUUGGAGCCAAGCAUAUUCUGAUUAAUGCAAAAUUUAAAAUGUUGCAAUUAUAGUAUCUAUUUGUUUACUUUUGGCAUAUGCUUGACAGAGAGGCAUUUGAAGAAUAUGCUAAAGAAGUGGAAAAACUUGCUUACAAGUUGAUAGAACUCAUAGCCCUGAGCCUGGGACUACCAGCAAACAGGUUCAAUGGCUUCUUCAAAGAUCAAACCACCUUUGCUAGACUUAAUCACUACCCACCGUGCCCAGCUCCCCACCUAACUCUCGGUGUGGGUCGACACAAGGACAGCGGUGCCCUUACCAUCCUUGCCCAAGAUGAUGUCGGAGGUCUUGAGGUAAAGAAAAAAUCAGACGGAGAAUGGGCUCGCGUCAAACCCAUCCCGAAUUCUUAUAUCAUAAAUAUCGGUGAUUGUAUUCAGGUAACAGCUAGUUUAAGCUUUUUGGUCAAACGUUUGAUAAUUAUUAAUAUGGUAUCAAAAUCAAAUUUUCGUGUUCAGUAGAUGCUUUUUUGGUCUCAAUAAAAUAUAUUCAUAUACAAUAUCGGUCUCUAUAAAUCUAUGUAUAUGCUUUUUUGGUCUCCAUAAAAUCUAUGUAAUUGUGCAGGUAUGGAGCAAUGAUGCUUAUGAGACUGUGGAGCAUAGGGUUGUGGUGAAUUCUGAGAAGGAAAGGCUUUCAAUUCCAAUUUUAUUCAACCCAUCUCAUUACACAAUGAUGAAGCCAUUAGAUGAGCUUAUAAAUGAGCAAAAUCCUGCUAAAUACAGAGCAUACAAUUGGGGAAAAUAUUUUACUUCUAGAUUGAACAGCAAUUUGAAGAAGCUUGAUGUUGAGAACCUUCAAAUUUAUCAUUUCAAGGUACAAGAGUCAGCCAAUAAGCUGGAUGGACUACUCUCUAUUAACAAGUAAUUAAUUUAGUUAUAAAUUCACACACCUAUUGUGUUUCAUCUUCGAAUUCUACCUAUAUGUGAAUAUAUUAUGUCAUGGGAAUAAUGGAAUUUGCAAUAAUGUCAUCUGCUAGUUGGUGUCAGUGUCUCACAUUAAUAAAUAUUAUUUCCGUAAUGUGAAAUCAAUAAAUAAAGUGGUGCCUACUUUGUGGAAUCAGUAAAUAAUGUGCUGCCUAUUUGUCUCCAUUAAAAUAUUAAUUAUUAACCAUGUAUGGUCAUAUAAACGAUUCAACAAUGAAAGAUAGAACGUGAAGCAAGAUAUAUAAUUAAAAUGAAACUUUUUGACAUCAAUAUAUUUUAAGUGCGAAGCUUUGUAUGUUUUAAAAUGUACACCCUUAAUUCGAAUAAGAAUUAAGGUCAGAUGAUAAAAUUAUUGAAUAAAAAAAUUAAAAUUUUUGUCAUUACACCAACCGUGCAUCUUAAUUUCACAUUCAACCUCUCUUCUCUUUAUUUAAAGUCUCCCUUUUGAUAAACCAAUAAAAUAAACAUCCAUAUAAUAAAUUCCCACUAGAAAUUGAAUGUUUUAAUAGAUUUUCAUAAAAUCCAGCUGAUUUUGGUUUUCAACUUUUAAUAAAAUUCAGCUGAUUUUGAUGAUCAUAUCAACAAACCCAUUGAUCAUAAUCUUUAGGCAUAAGCAAACAUGACAUUUUAGCAAUCGCCAAGGAAAUAGUGAGGAUGUGUAAUGGUGUCUUGCUAGCUGCAAAGACUUUAGGAACCUGAUGCGCUUUAAAAGCGAUUAAAACGAGUGGCUACAUGUAAAAGACAGUAAACGAUGGAACUUACCCCAGGAGGAAAAUUCCAUUUUGCCUGUCUUACGAUUGAGCUAUUCCAACUUACCAGCGGAAUUGAGACAAUGUUUUGCUUUUUGUGCUGUAUUUCCUAAACAUUCUAAAAUUAAGAAAGAGCGUCUAAUUCAUCUUUGGAUGGCUAACGGUUUUUUUCAUCCAAGGGAACUCUUGAAGCUGAAGAUUUUGGUAAUGAGAUAUUCAAUGAAUUAUACUGGAGAUCUCUUACUCAAGACUUUGUUCGAGACGAUGAUUCAAGAUACACUCAAAAUGAAGAUCAAACUAUUAAUCAUACAGCAGAUAAUGGAUCGGUGUAGAAAAUUAUUAAUCCAGCUUGUUUUCAACAGAUUUUGGGGUAGGAAAAGCCAAAAUCUAUCUUGAACAAUGAAUUUAUAUUUUUGGGGGAGAUGGGGUACCUCACUGGUUUGUUGUGUGCGGUGCGGCGUACCUGAAAUUUGGGAGAGGCGAGAAGGGGAGAUGGAGUGGUAAUAAUGGUGAAAGGUCAAAACCAAGAGGGGUGUCCUACAAAAUGGGCUUCGCGCCUGCAAAACAGUGAAAUAGAGGUUAGAGGUAAAGCUGGGGUACCCCGGCGUUCACACUCCGACGCUCAAGUUAGCAAACUCAAGCUUUUAUGGCAAAGAGAGCUGGCUAGCCCUCUGUAAAUUAGGGUUUGAGGUUGAGGAAAACCUAUUUUUUGAAGUGUGAGUGUUAAUGGUGAGUGAGAACAUGAUGGAGAAUAAAACCUAGGCACCUUUAUAUAUGGAGUACCUCCGUUGCCACGUGGCGUACCCUUUUUGGCUAACGUUCUUUUGCCUUUUUAUGAUUUUUGGGCCGUUAUGUAUAUGUUCGCGGCGUAUCUCAUCAUUUGGAAACGUGGCGCGCGCUGAAGAGUGGUCUAGGGUACCUCUGUAGUAGUUGUCGGGUAGGCGGUUGAGGACCACUGUCCUUGGGACAGUGUCCUUCACUUUUGGCAGAAGUAGCAGGCGGCUGUUCCCCCCUUUCGGUACGACAUUUUUUAUUCCUACUUCUAACAAAAUCGAAUAAUAUUUUUUAAGCGGUGGAGACGUUUCUCAUGGUGGAUAUUUUCGAAGGAUUCUCUUGCAUCUGUUCUGCCGGGUACCUCGAGUUACGUGGGGUACCUCAAUUUAUGUGGGGUACCUCUAAUUGUGCGGGGUACCUUAAAUCAUGCCAGGUACCUCGGAUCGUGCGGGGUACCUCAGAUUGUGCUGGAGUCAUUCCAUUUGUCGACACGUAGCACUUUAUUGCCUUUCCUAUUUUUCCCUCAAACAACAUCCCCCUAGUUUCUUUUUGGCGAGAAGUAUUGGAGGCAAAAGAAACUCAUUUGUAUGAGUGACACGUGGCGAUGCGUCUGGACCGGGGAUACCUUACUUAGUUUCUUCUCUUGACUAAACUUUGUGUACUGUCGAGCUAAAAAAUCUUCUCUUUGUCUUUUCCCUUUCCCGCCACAUUUUUUUUUUACUCAACUGCUGAUGAGAACGAACAAUUGUUUUUAUGUCUCUCUCCUGUUUUCUUAGGAAAUGGCAGCCUUCUGACACACAAUUUGAAUUUUAAAAAUAUCAAUCUCACACAAACAUCCCUUACCUCAUUUCUUGUGCAGUGUGUUCUGUCAGGUUGAAUUAAAAACCCCUGACGUGAAUGUCAAUCUUCUCUCAUUUAUUUUGAAAAUCCCCAAACGAUCUCCCAAAAGUUGAUUAUCUCCAGUGGCCUUCUUCUUUCAAAAUUUCGUCUCUUCUCCUGACUGUAUCAAUAUUGCUCACAGUAAAAAAAAUUUCUUUUUUACUCUUUUUUUUUUUAGUUUCUGCCGGUGUUUUCCUUUGUGGUUUUCCGGCAUUAGUUCGGUGGCUGCAACUCCCUCCCGCGUUGGUUUGGUUCGUUCUUCAUUUUUUUUAAUUAUUUCUUUUUUAUUUCGCCCGGGGUCCUCCUCUAUGAUUUCCGGCGUCGGUUCUCAGUGGUUGCAGCCAUGGCAGCCGGCGUUGGUUUGGUGGCUGCAGUCCCCCCCUCCGUGUUGUCUUCUAUGUUCUUCACCCUUUCUCUCUUUUUCUUCUUUCUUUUUAAUUUAUAAAUAACUACAUAUAUUUAAGCUUAUUUUUGUUUUUAUACUUGCAUAUUCUUACCUACUGUUUUUGGUUGCCUGCAACUUCUUCUCCCCAACGAUUAUCAAUCUCGAUCUGCCGAGUUGGUGAAUCAUAGAUAUCCCUCCUCGUUACUCUUUCUUUGGCGCAUUUACAGUGGCGCUAUUUUGCAUACUUUGAAAAAAAAAUUAUUUUUGUUUUUGUUUUUUAUUUUUAUUUUUGUGGUUGGUGUUUACAUUUGGUGGUUGAUGUGUGGUGGGUGGUGUUUGGUAUGAGUGUGUUGUUGUUUGGGAAUUUGUGGCUUGUUGGAUGUGUUGUUGUGGGCUUGUGGAUGUGUUGUUGGGGAACUUGUGGCUUGUUGCUGGGGAACUUGUGGGUUGUUGGAUGUAUUGUUGGGGGAUUGUGGAUGGGUUGUUGGAGAACUUGUGGCUUGUUGCUGGGGAACUUGUGGCUUGUUGGAUGUAUUGUUGGGGGUUUGUAGAUGAGUUGUUGGAGAACUUGUGGCUUGUUACUAGGGAACUUGUGGCUUGUUGGAUGUAUUGUUGGUGGUUUAUAGAUGGGCAAGAAACAUAUGGGACCCGUGAGGAAGCGACGUGCAGUUGGGGCUAGGAAGGUUGACAGCCCUCAUGCGGGUUCUCCUUCCCACAUCUCUAUUAGCGAGGGGAAUAUGUCCCCCCUAGUACCUCUAGCAGUUGUAACUCUCGUUCUGAGCUCCCUCCCUCUAGGAGUACUCCUCGUGUCAGCCCCCGCUUUCCCAGUAAACAGCCAACCCCCCAUCCUUGAAAGAAGGGUAGGUCAUCCAAGCCUAAGGUUCCAGCUCGUUCCUCAGACCGGCCUCCCAAAUCUUCCCCUGCCACACCUUUAAAAUCUGGAAACCUUUUUUGCCUAGGCACUAGGAGGGCUACUUUGGAGGAUUUAGAACAAAUUAAAACCAAAUACAAUAUUCAUUCCUCUGUUCAGCUUAGGGUACCCUAUGUGGAUGAUCGUCCUGAGAGUCCGAAAUCUGAUGGGAUUGCUCUCCAUAUCGACCUCUUUGAUCUAAAACUCUGCCUGCCCCUCCAGCCUUUCUAUAUGAGAAUGUUUGAUUAUUUGGGGUAGCUCCCGGACAGCUGUCCCUUCCGGGGUGGAGGACGCUUAUAGGCUUACAUGUGUUAUGGUUGGAGGUACUGAAGCGCGACAUUUCAAUUCAGGAGUUGAAGGGCAUUUACCAAUUCAAAAAGCCUAAGGGUCCCGGUAUUGUUUACUUCUCCGCUUGGGGUAAUCAUGAUCAUAUUGUUGAGGGGAACCGUGCCUUGAAGAAGGGUUACCGAAAGGGAUGGUUUGUUGCUGAGGGUAGGUAGAGGACAGAAACUCUAGGUAAAAAGGGCAACCCCGUGGAGGUUCCAAAUUCCUUCAAUGUAGACUGUAAGUAUCUUCCUUAUUUACGGUUAUUUAUUGUAAUCUUUCGCAUGAUGUCUCGCUAACCCUAGGUUCCAUGCUUUUGCAAGUGUGAUGUGGGCAAAAGGAUCAUGUCCACUUCAGAAGGUAGGGAAUGAGGUGAAGGAGUUUGUGGAGAGGCUCCGAGGUGCACAGAGGGGUAGUGAUGUGUUAGAAGAGAGCCGAUUACUGAGAGCGGGACUGAUUGACCGAAGUCCUCCACCUGCUUCUGGGGGUGACUCAUGUAUGAUUCGGGUGUCCGGGGGUACCCUAUUAUUAUCUACGGGAGUGGGGUACCCCGUUAUCACCGUAUUCUUUAUUUUGAUUCCCCGCUUUUCAUUUCUCAUUUUUGCUUUUAUAGUACUUAGUACUUGUCCGGUUAACAUAACUUUUGUGCAUUAGGUGCAGUUAUGGAAUCGACGGGUGACGCUUUUAAUGCUUUUUUCCAAGCAGUAGUGGGCGGUGCUUCCGGAUCUCAAGAUUCGGCGGUACCCCAGAAAAGUUCCCGGCCGCCUCGAGCUCCUGGACCAAAGGAGAAAUCCCAGGGUACCUCCCACAGCAGGUCGAAGGGUACCCCUCGCUCGAAGAAGAGAAAAUUCGGGCUGGUUUUCGCUUUUCCUGAUGAGUUGCGUGAAUGUGACUUAGACCCGGCUUCCAACAAGGAGGUUUCACACUUGGCUUGCUGUUUCUACUACUCUGCCGAAAAUGUUACCCCCGAGGUUGCUGAAGAGACUGACAAGAUGAGUCUGAGCCAGCGCUACGGUCAAGCACUUAGGGCUACCCAAGAGGUAAGCUUUAAUGGGGUACCCCGGGUGUAUCCUCCAUUUUUAUUUAUUUACUCUUAUUGCCAUACACAUAUAUUUAACAUGUAUUUUACGAUCUAUAGGCAUCCUUCCUCCUCAGCCACUGCCUUCCAGACCUCGACUCCCUUGUUGCCGCCCAAUCAAAGGUUGACAAGUUGAGGGGGUGAGCUCCAAAGUCGCCAAUCUCGCGAGGACGAGCUUGCUUGAGAAGUUAAGACUUUGCAGGAAUGCAUUACUAGCCUUUCUAGAGAGAAAGCUUGAGUGGAGAAGGAUUGCAACGAGUUGAGGGCUACCAACGAGGAUCUGUUAGCCAACAAAAAAAACGAUGGCGGAGGAUGCGUUCUCACUUAUCAUGAUGGAGGUGUGGAGCGUGGAUCCGGAAUUGGAGGUACCCCGUGUGCAGAAAUUUAUCAACAAGGCCACGAUUCUGAAGACGAUUGCGGAGAGGAAUAAGUCUUCCCAUGCACGGUCGGGUACCCCUUCUGGGUCGCCUGGGGUACCCUGCGUGCUUCAGUCGUUGCCUGCCUCAGAUGCCCCUACUUUGGUUGCUCAUAUUCCGGGUACCUCAAAGUCCUCUGCUGAUCGCCCUUCGGAGACAGAAGGCGGGGAUGGUGUUCCACCCUCAGUGUAGCCGCUUCAUAGUGCUCUUGUCUUUUUGGAUCUAUUCACGUUUUGCUAUUUGGAAAUUGUUUCUUUCUUUUUGAUUUCUUGGGAUAUUUUGUAUUAUUGGGACUUCUCUUUUGUUAUGAUACCAUGCCACCGAGCCCUCUUAUACUUUGCAUUCUUGUAAUUCUGCAAAUGAAUACUUGGCUAAACUGUUAUUUUAUAAAUCUCUAGGGUACCUCUCAUUUUUUUGAAAUGGAGUACCCCUCGUACCUUAACAAAUAUUCGACAUCAGGCGGAUUCCCCACAAAUAGGUAAUCAAAAUAUCAUCGCGACAUCUCGAUCAAACGUUGAAAGCGCAAUUAGUCCAACCAAUCACUUUCUUAUUCUUUCGAAGUUCUCUCCGAAUUUUUUGAAUAGCUUACCCCCUCCUUUGCUCAAGUAAGAGGACGGAGGUGUGGGUGUACUCAUACCUAAGCUGAACCUCGUGGCGCUAGGGUAUGCCUGUUUUACUCCACCCUCGGGUCCUCUUUGACCCUCCAUCUCUUUGUUUAGGUAGCUUUGUCAUGCUUCCGCAGAAAGGCUACCCAUGGGCUGUUCACUCUGUUGCCCAUCUUGGCUUUGCAUAGAUCGUCACGAUCUAGGCAUAUCAGGACUCUGGCUGGUUCUGUGAUAGGUUAGUCAUAAUUGACAAGCGUAUGGCGAGAAUUGCAUAUAACCAUAUGCGAGGGUAUAUUAAUGGCGAUAAAUGAAUAUAAUCCGUAUUCGAAUAUCGAAGUGGCGAAAAAUAAAGAAAAAACCAACAUCAUAUUUCUUGAGAAAGAAAAUACAUUUAUAGAUAACGAAAGCAUUGAUCAAUACAUGACUUACCUUUGUUACCCUAAAGAGAACGAGAGACCGCAAGACCUCAUAUCAUUUUCAUUUAAAAAUUAAAGAAACUCUAAAAUUGCAACUAACCAUCAUAGGGCAUUUGGGGUACCCCAUUUGGCCUACCACAUAAAAACAUUAAAGAAAGUAAAUAACAGUAAAAGACUAAAGGUUAAGAUAUUGUCCUUUAGUAAUAUUUCUGUACCAUUGCAGCAUUCCAGGGGUGCCUCACGAUUGUCUUAUCCAUGUGGAGUAGUCUGUAUGCACCUGACCCAACGGGUUUGUCGAUGUGGUAAGGUCCUUCCCAAUUUGCCCCAAAAGUGCCUUCGCAGGGUACCCUAGUGUUCUGAGUUACCAUUCUCAAGACCAAAUCUCAUUUCUUGAAGGAUCGAGGGCGUACCAUUUUUUCAUAUAGACCCGAAAUGCGAUGCUGAUAAAUGGUUGUCCUCAAUUCUGCUAUAGCCCUUUUUUCAGCCACCAAAUCAAGGUUGGAAGCAAUCAAGGAGGUGUUCUUGGUCUCAUCAAAGUAUUUAAUCCUGUGAGAGGGUUCCCCGAUUUCCGCUGGAAUCACUGCGUCAACACCGAAUGCGAGGGAAAAAAUGGGUCUCCCAGGUGGAGGUAGCUCAUCUACCCAUGCUCCAUUUCUUUCUUCUAACUUCUUCUUCAGGAUACCUUUGAUAAUAUUGUUAAAGGCUUUGACUUGCCCAUUAGAUUGGGGAUGGGCAGGUGUAGCAAAUCGGUUGGCUAUCCCAAGCUUUGAACAAAAACUUCAAAAUUUUUCAUUAUCGAAUUGCUUGCCGUUAUCAUUAACAAUUGCAUAGGGGAUCCUAAAUCUGCAAAUGAGGUUCUUCCAAAUGAAUUCUGUGGUUUUUCUUUCUGUGAUGCUUGUUAGUGGCUCCACUUCCGCUCACUUUGUGAAAUAAUCUACCGCCAUGAUUGCAUGUUUUGCUUGCCCCUUCCUGGUAGGUAAUGGGCCAAUGAAGUCCACUCCCCACAUAGCGAAAGGCCAAUGGGAAGAUAUAACUGUUAGCUUCUUUGGGGAUAGGUGGGGUACCCUGGCAAACCUUUGGCAUUUGUCACAGCUUCAUACCAUAUUCUUGGCAUCCUCUCGCAUGGUAGGCCAGUAGUACCCCUGACGGAGAGCUUUUUGCGCUAGUGACUGCCACAAAUCCCCUCAUGUAUCUCCCUCAUGACAUACUCGGCCUUGUCACUUCCCAAGCAUUUAAGGUAAGGAAGAGUGAACCUUCUUCUGUAUAGGGUAUCUUGGAUCAGGCAAUACCGUGCGGCUUUAUACUUUAGUCUUCUUGCUUCACUUUUAUCUGAGGGGAGGUCUCCGUCUUUGAGGUACCUUAUGAUAGGCUUCAUCCAAAGUACCUCGUUGGACAGUGAUAAUACUUCCAACGGCUCUAAGAGAUCAAUGCUGGGGGUAGGUAUGUAUUCUGUCGUGAUGGGGCCAGCUAAUUGAGUUACACCAAGGGACACCAUUUUUACGAGGGUGUCGACUUCGUUGUUCUCUAGUCAGGGUACCCUUUCCACCUUAACCUCGCAAAAUUGGGACAUCAACUCUCUGGUUUUUUCGAGGUACCCCUUCAUGUUUUCCUCUUUCACUUGAUAUUGUGCGCUAAUUUGGCUUACCACCAACUGGGAGUCACUCUUGACGUGUACCCACUUUGCUCCCAAAGCUUUCGACAUCCUUAACCCUGCUAUGAUGGCCUCGUAUUCGGCUUCGUUGUUUGAAGCCUAGAAUCCGAAUUGCAAGGCAUAGUAUAUUUUCACCUUGUUCAUGUCGAUUAUAAUAACUCCCGCACCACUUCCGUGUGAGUUAGAGGAACCAUCUACAUAUAUUUUCCAGACAUGCCCCCUUUCGUCGGUAGAUGGGGUAUCUAACAGGUACCUCGGAUCACCUUCACCACUUGAGUCAUUGGCAAAUUCCGCAAUGAAAUCAGCGAUGGUUUGGGCUUUAAUCGCCGAACGAGGCUUAGAGAUGAUGUCGAACUCGCUUAAUUCGAUGGACCAUCGGAGAAGCCUUCCGGACAUGUCUAACUUCUGGAGUAUUUGCCGGAGGGGAAGGUUGGUGACGACUGUAAUUGAGUGAGCUUGAAAGUAUGGUUUGAGCUUCCUUGCGGAGACAAUCAAUGCCAAAACGAUCUUUUCAGAUGUGGGCCACCUCUUUUCGGCAUCAACCAUAACUUUACAAGUGUAGUAAAUAGGUCGUUGUACCCCAUUAUCAUCCUCUCGGAGUAACACAGAGCUGGUGGCAUGCUCGAAUACGGCGAGAUACAACAGAAGCACCUCUUUCGGCUCAAGUUUGGCAAGUAGUGGAGUAUUCACGAGGUACCCCUUCAGUUCUUGGAAAGCUUCUUCGCAAUCGGGUGUCCAUUGGAGCUUCUUACCGGUCUUCAAAGCUUUGAAAAAGAGCUUACGCUGGUCUAUAGCCUUGGAGAUAAAACGGCUCAGGGCAGCUACCCGGCCUGCCAAGCUUUGAGCCUCCUUGAUGGUGCGCGGCGAUUUCAUGUCAAGAAUCGCGCGAAUUUUAUCGGGGUUGGCUUCGAUCCCUCGUUGUUGUACCAUGAACUUAAGAAAUUUCCCCGAGGUAACCCCGAAUGCACAUUUUUCAGGGUUGAGCCGCAUUUGGUGUCUUCUCAAAACUAUAAAGGUAUCUCUGAGGUGCCCCAGGUGUUCCCCCGCAUGCACUGAUUUGGUGAUCAUAUUGUCUAUGUACACCUCCAUGGUGUGCCCGAUUUGUUCCUUGAAAAUUUUGUUCACUAGCCGUUGAUAGGUAGCCCCGGCAUUCUUCAAACCAAACGGCAUAACCUUAUAACAGUAUAACCCACGGUUGGUGAUGAAUGUUGUUUUCUCUUGAUCGGGUUCAUACAUUGAAAUUUGGUUGUAACCGGAGAAGGCGUCCAUAAAACUAAGCAUAUCAUGCCCCGCUGUUGCAUCCACCAGCUGGUCCACCCGGGGAAGCGGGAAGCUAUCCUUGGGGCAGGACUUAUUCAAAUCGGUGAAGUCCACACACAUAUGCCACUUUCCGUUUGAUUUCCUGACUAGAACGACGUUGGAUACCCAAUCGGGGUACACUACUUCCCGAAUAAAUCUUGCUGCUAAUAGGCGGUCUACCUCUUGUUCAAUUGCAUCGUACCUCUCUUGGUUGAAGGCGCGAUGCUUCUGUUUCACUGGUUUAUUAUGUGGGCUGACAUUGAGUUUGUGACAAUAGAGGGAAGGUGGGAUACCCGGCAUAUCCGAGUGAGACCAGACGAAUACGCCGUGGUGCUCGCGUAGGAAGGUGAUGAGCCUCUCUCUUUGUUCCUUCGAAAGAUUGGAGCCUACUUUCACGGUCUUUGUUGGGUCGGUGACACAAAUCGAGACUGAAAUAAGGUCUUCAACUGGGGUACCCCAUUUUUCAUCUUUCAAUAUUCGGGGAUCCAAAAGUGCCUCAACUUCACAUCUGGGCUCCACCUGGUCCCCGUGGGGUACCCUUGAGCUAUCCCCCGCAACUACUUCUACGCCCAUUGGUGAGGAUUCUAACCGUUUUCGUGGGUGGACAAUCUGAGGAGACUUUUUUAGUACCGUUGUCUAGCAAGUGUUCGCUUUGAGGGGUAAGAUGUGGGCUGGCUGCCACUGGGGUACCCUUUCAUUAGUAGAUCAGAAGCUAUUUGGUAAGUGACUUUGGAGGCCACAGAGUAACAUCUACGAGCCGAUUGCUGGUCCCCUUUAAUGGUGAUAACUUCUUGGGCGACCGGGACUUUCAUGGCGAAGUAGUGCAUAGAUACCACCGCUUUAGUUGCUACUAAGAACGGCCUACCCAAUAUAAUAUUGUAGGCACCCGGGUGAUCUACAAUAAGAAAAUCAAUCAUAUGAACAACACGGUGAGGUACCUUACCAAGUGUAACGUGCAGCGUAAUGAUGCCCUUUGGUAUAACCAUAUCUCCGGCGAACCCAAUAAGAGGCGUAGCAUAAGAAGUGAUCUUUGGCGACUUAAUCAAUAGUUGAUCCAAGGCGCUUUUGGAAAUGAUGUCAAUAGAGCUGCCGAUAUUUACAAGAGUUCUUACUACCUUACCGGUGGCAACCUUCAACGUAAUUACUAAGGUAUUGUCAUGGGGUACGAGAUACUCUCCCCAUCUUUUUCUGUAAAAAGGAUAGGCGGGGGAUGGUGAGGUACCUUCGGUGUACCUCAUUCAUUAAGGUUGACUUCUCCGCCAAUAUUGGUGGUUAUUGACAACGAUCUACCAUAGCCUUUGAUAGCCCUCCUAUAUUGACCCGCUAAAGUCGGUCCGCCCAUGAUCAUCCGGACAUACACGCAUUUCUUAUGUCCAGGGGAUACCUCUAGUUCAGGACUGCCAUCAGUUACCUGCUUGCCCUUAUCCUACUCCGCGGAUUUCCGAGCUUCUCUCAAGCCAACAACAAAUUCUUUGAGGUACCCACUAAGAUUCAAAGAUUCAAUUUCCUCUCACAAGGUAAAACACUCAACUGUGCUGUGACCGAAGUCCUCAUGGAACUCACAAUACUUCAGGCCACGCUUCAUGUUGGGGUACUUCUCCAUUGGCUUAGGAGGACGGAGGAGGCAACUAUCCUGAAUAUGGUAGAAGAUCUGCUCUGAGGAUCGAUUCAGCGGAUGGUAAGAUUCGUACCGAGGCCUCGGUGGUAGCUCUCGUUGAUCCGGUGGUGGCGAUCUUAGAGGUUGGGGUACCCUCGGGGUACUCUGAGCGUUAUACCCUCGUCCCCGCGAGGCAGCCCGUGGAGGGCUCCGUGCUCGGGGUACCCACGAUAUUGUGGCCUCCAUCCUCUUGGGCUUGUCCUUAUUCUUUGUAACAUCAGCCUUAUCUUAUUGGCGCUUCAAUUGGCAUUUCUCGUCCAUCUCUACCUGCUGCAACGCCCGGGAACGGGCUUGCCCAUAUGAAAGUGGGCGCUUCUUUUGAAAAGAACGUCAUAACUUGCCUAACCGUAAAUUUUUUUCAAAAUGGGUCAAUGUGUAUUGGUUUCCAAAUGCUCCGGUUCGCAGCACCUCUUGGUGGAAACUACUCACAUACUACGCCAAAGGCUCGGAUUCCCCUUACUUGACAAAGGCAAGUUUGGAGGCUACCCUAUCUUGAGUGGAAGCGUAGGAAAACUCUUUAGUAAAUUCGGAUAACAAUUGGUGUAUGGAAGAUAUGCUACCCGCUUUCAAAGAGCGAAACCAUGACUUCGCGGGGCCCGUGAGUGUGUGUGUAAACAUCCUACACAUGGCACUCUCAUCUACACCAUUGAUAAUCAUUUGGUCGCGAUAUAGCUCAACAUGCUCCGAGGGAUCAGUGGUACCCGAUUAUUGGGGUAUCUGAGGCAUGGCGAACGCCUCGGGGAGAGCUGUCUUCCGAAUCUCCAUAGUGAAUGGCGAUUGGUAGGUCGUUGGCGUUGGAGCAGCUAUGAUGUUUUGCUUCUCAGAGAGGAGCUUCACUUGGCAUUCCAGGUUCUCCAUUUUUUCCACAAAUUCGUGGAGUACCCUCGGGGUACCCGAUGAUGUCGCCGCCGUUUGAGAAGCCCUUUUGACGUUUAACUUUUUACGGAGAUCCUCGUGGGUAUACUUUGCACGCCUCGUACCCUGACUGCUGCGGGAAUUGCAAGAGGCGAUAAAACGCUCAUCGCGGGAGCCCACGGUUUGAAACUUAGAACGGGUACCCGAUGGCCUAUGCUUUAGUUUGUUGGCCUCGGGUACCUCUUUUCUAACCAUAGCUUAGUCGCCCGUUUGAGGUGGUGAAGCAUCUAACGUCACUGGUGGAAGUGAACUUUCGGGUGCCCGAGAUCCAACUGCCCUAAGUAUUGCGUGGGCAAGAUCCUCGAAACGCUUGUGAGAAAUAAGUCCUCAUCUUGGCGAACACUCGUCGAUUGCUUGAUACCCUUGCCCUUGCUGAUGCGGGCUACCUUUCUUGAGGGAUCACUACCUUCACUGCUGCUGUCAUCUCUCAUCCUUGUAGGAUCCCCCAUUAAACCUUCGGGAGGUACGUCGGGUGUCAUGUAUUGGAGUACACACAACAACUAGUUUGGUAACCGUGGUGGAGGCUUUUUGUGCGCUUCCCCACAGAUGACGCCAAUUGUUUUCAACAGAUUUUGGGGUAAGAAAAGCCAAAAUCUAUCUUGAACAAUGAAUUUAUAUUUUUGGGGGAGAUGGGGUACCUCACUGGCUUGUUGUGUGCGAUGCGGCGUACUUGAAAUUUGGGAAAUGUGAGAAGGGGAGAGGGAGUGGUAACAAUGGUGAAAGGUCAAAACCAAGAGGGGUGUCCUUCAAAAUAGGCUUCACGCCUGCAAAACAGUGAAAUAAAGGUUAGAGGUGAAGCCGGGGUACCCCGGCGUUCACACUCUGACGCUCAAGUUAGCAAACUCAAGCUUUUACGAUAAAGAGAGCUGGCUAGCCCUCUGUAAAUUAGGGUUUGAGGUUGAAGAAAACCUAUUUUUUGGAGUGUGAGUGUUAAUGGUGAGUGAGAACAUGAUGGAGAAUAAAAUCUAGGCACCUUUAUAUAUAGAGUACCUCAACUGCCACGUGGCGUACCCUUUUUAGCUAACGUCAUUUUGCUUUUUUUAUGAUUUUUAGGCCGUUAUGUGUAUGUUCGCGGCGUAUCUCAUCCUUUGAAAACGUGGCGCGCGCUGGAGAGUGGCCCAGGGUACCUCUGCAGUAGUUGUCGGGUAGGCGGCUGAGGACCACUGUCCUUGGGACAGUGUCCUUCAUUUUUUGCAGAGGUAGUAGGCGGCUGUCCCCUCCCCCUUUUGGUACGAUGUUUUUUAUUCCUACUUCUGACAAAAUCGAAUAAUAUCUUUUAAGCGGUAGAGAUGUUUCUCAAGGCGGAUAUUUUCGGAGGAUUCUCUUGCAUCUGUUCUGCCGGGUACCUCGAGUUACUUGGGGUACCUCAAUUUAUGUGGGGUAUCCCUAAUUGUGCGGGUAUCUCUAUUUGUGUGGGGUACCUCUAAUUGUGCAGGGUACCUUAAAUCAUGCCGGGUACCUCGGAUCGUGCGGGGUACCUCAGAUUGUGCUGGAGUCAUUCUAUUUGUCGACACGUGGCACUUUACUGCAUUUCCUAUUUUUCCCUCAAACACAGCUUAUGUUAAUUGGCGAGCUAAAGAUCAAACUCUCCUUGGCUAGCUUCUGUCAACGAUAAGUGAAGGUAUUUUGAGCUCCGUACUUAACUAUGAUAGAUCUUAUGAUGUGUGGAAAUAUAUUGAAAAACAAUUUGGUGCUCAAUUUGAGGCCAAGGUUAUGCAGCUUCGAUAUAAAAUGAGUGUACUUAGAAAAGAAUCCAUGAUUGUUGAAGAAUAUUGUUUGAAAGUUAAAAUUCUUACUGAUAAACUUACUUGUGUUGGUAGUCCUUUAUCAGAAAGAAAUUUGUUUAUGCAAGUGUUAGACGGAUUGGGACUAGUUACUUAGAUCUUGCAUCUAUCAUCACUGCUGAUAUAAUGUCAUAUGAUGAUGCUUAUGCUUUGCUCUUAACACAUAAGGCUAGAUUGGAACAUAAUCAGAUAGCUAAGUCUGUGUUUAAUGCGAAUUAUGGAAUGGUUAAUUCAAACUAUUCACUAGGAAUGGAUAGUGGCAGAAGAAGAGGUUAUGGAUGUAGUAGAUAUCAUGGACAUUUUAAUGUUGGAAACAUUAAUCACUAUGGUGGAAGAGGAAUGUUCUUUCAUGCAUAUGCCAGAGGAUUUCCCAAUGAUAAUGUUAGUUAUAACCUUGGUAGAGGAUAUUCACCACAAAUGCCAAUUCACAAGGCAUCAUCACACAACAAAUCUGUCUUCAAUAUGUUUUAUGACUCAUUUACUAAUGAAUCUAGUGACAAUGAUCUUAUUUGCCAAAUUUGCCAUAAAUCUAGUCACACUGCUGAUGCAUGUUGGCAUAGGUAUACUAAAAAUUAUAUACCUCCAGUAAGGUCUUUUGGUAGAGCUAGAGGAUUUAAGGUUGCUCAUAUGACCAGCUUUGAACCAUUUACUGAAUUUAGACCUUAUAUUGCUUACUCUCAUGCUAUGAAUUAAUUUUCAUAUCAGACAUCUGAUAUGAAUCCAUACUAUACACUUGACACAUUCUCUAGAUUUGGAGUUGCUUAUAUUGCAAAUUUUGAAGGACCAGCUGAUCAGGGGUGGUACCUUGAUAGUGGAGCAACACAUCACUUGACUAAUAACAUAGCUAAUAUGAACAUUAGAGAAGAAUUGAGAGGUUCUGAUCAACUUAUCAUUGGAAAUGGCCAAGGUUUGCCUAUAACACACAUUGGUGAUGCAUUCUUUACUUUUAAAAGUUCAAAUACUAAACACCAUCACCCACAAAUAGCACUUAAAGAUAUUCUACUUGUUCCUUCCAUUACAAAGAACUUGCUGAGCAUUUCUAAACUUACAUCUGAUAAUCGCUUUUAUGUUGAAUUUGUUGGUAACAUAUGCUAUGUAAAGUAUUCUCUAAAGAGGCAGGAACUUCAACAAGGUCUUGCUGAGAAAGGAUUAUACAGGCUGUUACUCAAAUCUUCACCAUCAUCAUCAACACCAUCUUCUUUCUUAUCUUACAGUAUUCCUUCCUCUACUACAUCUCCUACACCACUAUUUAUGCUGUCAUGUUGUUAUAUCAAUUCUGCUUUUGAUGGUGUUCAACUCAAUAACUCAGACUUGAAGUCUUGUUUUCAAUCUUCAGUUUCUUUAUGUAAACCAUCAAUUAAUAAAAUUACUUUGCGAUGUCUUCCUGCAAGCACCAAGAAUCUUAUCAAUCUAUUUUUGAACCUCCGAGGUUGUCCUAAAUUAGAAAAGUAAUGCAAGAAGAAAAUUGGUUAAAAUUGGCAUAAAAUAGCACACAUUCCAUUUGUCGAUCUGUUCUCUAUAGAGGAGAGUUCAAAUUAUUGCAUGCGUCUAUUUGAGAGGUAUGUCAAGGCCUUCUCAACUAAUCUUUCUCCUUAUUUGGGGGAGGGGGGAGAGAGACUAAUUUUGACAUUAAAAAUAUAACUUUCUGCAUAUAAAAGAAAAUGCAGGUAACACAAUUCUUUCGAAAGGUUGUUGUGCCUCUUUAAGAGUUCCAAGCAGUUGAAUCAAGAUGCUAAACUACAUGUACGUAAGAAUGCUCUUUUAUUCAUCUAUUUAUUUUCCUUUUUCAUGUGUCGAAAAGAAAAGAAAAAUUAGUGAACUUUACACUUAUUUUACUUAUCAAAGAGUUCAUACUGAGAAACAUAGUUUUAAGUCAGUGUUCAAGCCUACGGAGUCUCUCUGUAAAUCAUGGAUAUUGAUUGUUAGUUUUUCACUCAUUUCCACUCACUUUUACAAUUCUUUUAAUUUUCUCUGGUGUGUUUAGAAUCACUUAUCUGCCAAUGCCUUCCCAAUAAGAAAGAAAAGCCAACGUGUUGAACUGAACUACAAAUCUGGGUUUGUGGUCGUGUACGACGUGUCGGUUGUUUAGUCCAGAGAUGGGUGACAUGUCGAUUAUCUCGAAUUAGAACGUUGUAUGACAAGGCUACUCAGUCAGCCAGUUGAAUAAGUUGGGCAUGUGAUGUAACACGUGCAUUACUUGCUCAAAACGGUAGAUGGAGGCAGCGUGUUUUACGAGAUUGUAACACGUGUCCAAAAGCUAUUUUAAACGGCUGGUAAAGCUGUUAAAAGGCGCGGGAAAUUUCUACCAGUGACGUUGUGCUGGCUUCUGGGGUUAUUUCUAGAAGCAAUCUUUUGUUGUAUAUUUAGCCUCGUGAGUUGUUAUGUGGCUAGAUCGAGAGUGUGACAGUUUCUCUAAAAAAACUUGUAUCUUGAUAAGCUAAAUCAGUGAAAGCUUGUUCUAAUUUUUACAGUGGAUGUAGGCCACAUUGUGGUUGAACCACUAUAAUCCUCUUGUGUUUGUGUGUGUGAUUGUUUCAGCAUCUUGUUGGUUUGAUUUCUGUGUUUCCAGAUUAUCGUAUCAGUUUUAUCUUCAAGUUCAUUUUGGUUAUCAAACAUUCUUAAGUUAAAGAUUUGAUUGAGUGGAUCUUGGGGGAUCAAAAUCGGUUUCUUGCUGGUUUUGGUCCAACACAAAGGAUGUGCAAACCCAGCAUAACACAGUAUCCAGUUAACACAAGAAACAUACAAGUCUUUCCUUACUCAUUAAACAGUGUUUGAGGGCUUUCCUCUAGUGUGUUAUAACUUUGAUAAGCAUUUGUGUCAAUUUCAACCAACAUCUAAAAACUCUAAAAAAGGCAUUUUUGUCAUUGUCUUCAAUGGUGGUUUUAAAAUUUCUUUUAAAGAGUGAAAAUAUUGUUUGUUGAUGUGAUUUUUUUAGAAUUGAGAAAGAAUUUAAUAUACAGAUUGUUUUUAAACCAAUAUCUGAAAAUGAAAACAAUAAAUCCCGUUUUCUAGUUUUUCCGUAAAAAUAGAUAUUUAAUAUGUUAAAAUAAACUUGUGAAUGGGGUGUGUUUUUGCAAGUUUGGAGCAAUGAUAAAUGUCAGAGUGCAGAGCAUAAAGAGUGGUGGAGGUUCUUGCUUCCACUUUUCUUCAUCCCCUGCUCACCAUGCCUUACUGAAGCCCUUCAACGAGCUAGUAAACAAGCUGAGUUCUGGCGAUCCAGUUCCUUGAUGUAUGAGGCACAUGCUAGAACUUCAAUAUUACUAUUAGAACUAUGCCUUGUUUUAGCAGUCAUUUACAUCAUGCCUGUAGAUUAAGAACAAGGCAUAUGGUAGAACUUCUAUAUUGUAACUGAUAGGCUCUUCCCAACAAGCUUAGCUUUCGGAUAUGGCGGUUACUUAAUGUCUGCAUUUGCUUUUCUAUAUCUGCAUGACUGCAGUCAUUUCUAUCUUGCCUAAGUAGCUUAAACUUCUGGGUAUUAGUGAUUUCUCGAUCGCUUUUAUCAUAUCUCAAUAGUCAUUUCUUGAGGUACAAAAUCGUGCCAAGUUUCAAUAGUCUUGGAGAAAAUUAAAAGGUACUUGAGAAACUGAUGCUGUGUAGCCAAUUCCUUUUAUUACCAAAUGUGUACUAUUACAUUAUUCGUGGAAAAUCUAUUAAUUUAUUUAAUAUUAAUUAAUCAAUAAAUUAUUAAAUUAUGACAUUGUUAUUAUUGGAUAUGAAUAAUAUAAAAAAUAAAUCAAAAUAUCAUAAAGAUAUUGUUGUUGUUGUUAUUAUUGUUGUUGUUGUCGUCAUUGUGGUCAUUAGAAACAAUUUAUUUUAUAAUUAAAAUUGAUUUUUUCCUUUUUUAUAUUAAGUGAGUUUUCAUUUAGGCAUCAUUUGGGAUUGAGGUUAAAAUUCAAUAAGUUACUUAUUUCAAAAUUUUUAACAAAAAAAAUAUAUUUGAUAAAUUUCAUAAAAGUUGUUUAUUUUAUAAUUUUCUCCAUUUUGAUAAUAACUUUUAAAAGUAGGUAGAGUUUUGUUCCUGAGUUUUUUUUUUUUUUCCUUUUUUUGGUAAGUAGCUCAUUAAAUAAGUUAUGAUACAUUUUUAAAAUUCUUAUUAUAAUUUUAAUAUUUUAACAAAAAGAUAAUUAUGUCUUAUUUUUCUAUGCACUCUAAUAUAUAAACUAUUAGAUAUCAUAUUAUUGUCAUAAUCAAAUUACCGCUACUAUACGUUCUCUUCAGUAUCAAAGUUUUAUCCUAUAAAUUCAUAUUUUUUAUUAUACUUUUAUUUUUCUAUUAUAAGAAUCAAUAAGAUUUGCAUAUGAUUAUGUAAAUUUUCUUUGAACUAUGAACAAUUUCACAUAAAGGCUAAAGAUAACUUUUGAAAUUGCAAUUUCAUAACCAUGACUUUUAACGUUCAAUAUAUUUAUAUUUUUUCGAUAACCAAGGUGUUUAUUGUAAAAAGUUUAAUGUGAAUGUAAUGCAUAUUACUUCAUUUUAUUUGAAUUAUGUACUAGUAUAAAUUUUUUAUCAUUUUAUAAAGUUCAUUAUAUUUUUAUUUAAUUGAUUUUUUCACUUUAUAUAAUUUUACGUGUUUUAAAAGAAAAAUGUAUGUCUAAAUAUCACUAAACAUACUCUAAAAAAUAAAAGGUAAUUUAAAUUUAUAUAUUUUUAGUUAUUAUAUAAUAAAACAAUAUUACCAAACACAUAUACACUACUUUUUAAGCUUACAACAAUUCUAACAACACAGUUUACUAAACAAUAAACUUUUUUUUUACUCAACAACUUAUUUUAUCCGCACAGCAGAAAAAUAACUUAUUUAAUUAGCCACCGCAAUGCCUUAUAAUAAUUUAAUUAAAUUAUAAAUGACAUGUCGUACGCUUAUACUCAGGGGUGAAAUAUGUAUGUAAUGUCAUUUAUGUGCUCAAAAUAUAAACAAAAAGUCAUAUAUUUGAUUAAUUUAUAAACUAGAUGUCAUACAUUUUUUAAUUCAAAGUAAAAUACAUACACAAUGUCAUCCAUGUUCUGAAAACAAAAACGACAUAUCAUGCUACUUAUUAAUAUUUACCAUAGGUUUACUAUGUGAUGAAGUUGUAAAUGACAUGUCAUACGUCAAUAGACAAAUAUUUAUUUUCUCUUCUUUUCUAUCUUCCAACUUAAUAGUUAAUACCAAACUAACAAAUCACUCGUUGACUGAGUGUUGAGCACCUCCUCACUUCAUUUUAAAGCAUUUCACCCUUAGACAAAAUCACUUAGAUGGUUGAUCAAGAAACUAUUAUACUAUGUGUUAAGCAAAUUAAAGAAGCAUGGAACUCUAGUCAGGAACUUUAAUUAAAAAGGUAAAACAUGAAGUGGCAUUCGCGAGCACUCAAUAUUUUCAUAGUGUGUGCUCAACCAUUAUUAGUACGUACAGCUGUCAAGAAUAUUUGCUGCACUAAAUUUCAACUGAUUACCAACGAAAAGUCCUCAAACACACCGAAUCUAUCACUAGGUGUGAAAAUUACUUAAUUAUUAAUUAAUCACGGUGAAAUAAUCGUCCCUUAAACCCUGCUUGGUGCUUUGGCUAUGUAUGUCUCUUGUCCACUAAGUGAAUCAUUGAUUCUUUCGCUGCUAUUAUUAUAUGAUCCAUUUUGUGACGCUUCAGACAAAAUUAACCACGCAAGCACAAACGUCACACAAUUUUCCAACUCUUCCCUGCCCGAAAAUCCCAUCCAGAUUCAAUGUUAUGUUGUUAACUCCCUAUCUUGCAUGGUUACAGUAAAUUUUCCUUUACCACUUAGGGUUUGGGUCAAUUAUACUUUUAGUAUCUGUAUUUUUUAAAAUUACACAAUGCGGCUUUAUGGGUAAUUCUACAAUGGUUGCUACUAAUUUUUCAAAGAUAAAAUUAUAUUAUUUUUUAAUAUAAUUUAAAAUUAAAAUAAGUCUAACAUGCAAUAGAUUAAAAAAUUAAAAAAAAAUUAUGUAAAUUUUAUUAACUGCUGGGUAAUUAUCAAAGAUAUAGAGACUUACUACAUAAUUAGCUCAAAAGUCCUCUAGGCUGAAAGAGCCUUUAGCCCACUAUAAAUAAACUGCCUCAAUUACUCUCUUUUAUAUCAAACUAUACAUUAGAAUUUAAUACAUUGUUUCUUAGCUAUAGCCAUGGGAGAAGCUGAUGAAGCUUUCGUUCAAGCCAUAGAACACAGGCCUAAACUCUCAGUCACUGAAGAUGAAGGCAUACCCUUGAUCGAUCUCUCACCUUUGAGCUUUCCUAAUGACGCCAACACCAAAAACAUUGAUGACCUUGUGGUGGAGAUAGGUAAUGCAUGCAAGAAAUGGGGUUUUUUCCAAGUGAUCAACCAUGGAGCGCCAUUAGAAAAGAGGCAGAAAGUAGAAGAUGCUAUGAGAAAAUUCUUCGCGCAGCCAUUGGAGGAGAAAAGGAAGGUGAGGAAAGAUGAGAAGAAGGCGGUGGGGUACUAUGACAACGAGCAUACCAAAAAUGUUAGAGACUGGAAAGAAGUAUUUGAUUUUGUUGCAGAUAAGCGUAUUUUGAUGGCAGCUUCACAUGAGCCUGAGGACAAGGAAGUUCCUGAGACGUUCAAUCAAUGGCCUGAUUAUCCUCCUGAAUUAAGGUAAAGUUAACUCUUAUAUUGUGAUGGUGAAGUUUGAGUACUUAACGAUAAUUUGAUCAUUGCAAUAUAGUGGACCUAUUUCAUUUGAAUAAAUAAUUAUAUCGUUUUCAUUUGUUUCUUUAUCAUUAUUUUUCGGAACAAUAUGUUUUUCAUUUAUAUUUUUUCUUUUUAGUACAAGUUCUUAAAGGUUCAAGAGAUCUCAAAUCAAGAGAUAAAUAUUCUAAUCCUUUAGUACAAGCAUCUAAAAGAGUUUUUCCUUUUUUAGCCAUCUAAUUGACAUUUUGAUUACUAUCUUUGUGUUAUCGAAUUUAAUAAGCUUGAGAGUAAUUAGCAAAUCUAAAUUGGUGACGUGAAUUUUCACAUGGUUGGAGAGAACUCACAAUAUAGUCCAUAAGAGGUACUCAUUGACAAGGUAAACAACCAUAAGAAGCUGAUUCGUACGUGUUAAAUACCACUCAAAUGGUUAUAAUUGGUUGUUGGUCAGUAUGAGAACUUGUAAUCUUUUGGAGCCACCGUAUAUACUUUGAUUAAUGCAAAAGUUUAAUUUUGCAAGAAAAGAUUCAAUGAUAGGACUUUAGUUAUGAAUUUAUCUUUGGUAUGCUUGACAGAGAGUCAUGUGAAGAAUAUGCUAGAGAAGUGGAAAAACUUGCUUACAAGUUGAUGGAACUUAUAGCCCUAAGCCUGGGACUCCCAGCAAGCAGGUUCAGUAGCUUCUUCGAAGAUCCAACCAGAUCUGUUAGACUUAAUCACUAUCCGCCAUGCCCAGCUCCUCACCUAGCUCUAGGUGUGGGUCGACACAAGGACGUCGGUGCCCUUACCAUCCUUGCUCAAGAUGAUGUUGGCGGUCUUGAGGUGAAGAGAAAAUCAGAUGGAGAGUGGGUUCGCAUCAAACCCACCUCGGAUGCUUAUAUCAUAAAUGUUGGUGACAUUCUUCAGGUAAUUCGUAAUAGCUAGCUUAAGUUUUUUGUUCAAACGGUUAAUAAUUAGUAAUAUGGUGUCAAAAAUCAAAAUUUCGUAUUCGAUACUCGUUUUUUUUUUAAUGCCAAUAGAAUCUACGUAAUUGUGCAGGUAUGGAGCAAUGAUGUUUAUGAGAGUGUAGAGCAUAGGGUUACGGUGAAUUCUGAGAAGGAAAGAUUUUCAAUUCCAUUUUUCUUCAGCCCACCACAUUGCACAAUGGUGAAACCAUUAGGCGAGCUUACGAAUGAGCAAAAUCCUGCUAAAUACAGAGCAUACAAUUUGGGAAAAUUUUUAGCCACUAGAAGGCAAAGUAAUUUCAAAAAGCUUGAUGUUGAGAACAUUCAAAUUUCUCAUUUCAAGGUACAAGAGUUAGCUAACGAGUUGGAUGGAGCACUCUCUAUUAACAAGAAGUAAUUAAUUUUAAUUUGCUUUUUAGUUAGCGAAAUUACAUAUGUACUUAUGUAGUGUGUUUCAUCUUUGAAUUGAUCAACCUAUCUGUGAAUAUAUUAUGCGAUGGAAAUAAUGGAAUUUGCAAUAAUGCCAUCUGCUAGUUGUUGAAUUAAUAUUGUUUUUUUGGGUUGGAUAGUUCCUCUAGUUUUGGGAAAUCAAUCCCAUGAUUCUUGCUAAUACAAUAUAUCUGGUGCUCAUAUGUCUUCAUCCAUGUUCCGGUAAUAAAAACGACACAUCCUAUAAUUUUUAUAGAUAUUUACGACAAAUCAACCACUUGCUGAACUAGUAAACAACGGGUCACGCACCAACAAAGUGUUGGCUCCACUGGCAAUGGAGUCCCCUUAAGUGGCUUGACUGUGUUUGCUCCCCAGUUCGAGUCGCAGGGAAGUCGCCUUUGUUGGGAGAACCUGUGCCUCCCGGUUCGAGCGGGGACUUCUAGUCUGGGUUGUGGUACGGGCUUAAAGGUGCCUCCCACAGUUGGGGCCCUCCCCAGGAUACCUCGUGAUUAAUAUCAAAAAAAACAACGGGUCACGCAUCAAUUAAAUUUUUACUUAAUGUCAAUUUUUUCAUGUACUGAAUUACCUUUUUUCUUUUUAUUACAUGAGACUAUUGCUCAGAUUACAACUCAUAUACAUGAGAUUAUUACUGAUAUUUACAAAUCAGACUAUUACUGGGACCAACUGACAUCAAUGCUGGAGCUCUGCCCAGAUUUUAACCCUCACAAAUAUUCGAGGGAUGUCUACUCCUCACUCAUGGGUAAGGGAGAAGACUACCUUCACUCAAAUUAAUUGAGGAAGAAAAUACCCCCACAAUACUUUUGUGGGGGUUCGAACUGCUGCCCUCUAAGUUGGAGGGCAGCAGCCCUGGCCACUCGGGCUGCUGCCCGAGUGGUUAUGUACUGAAUUACCUAGGUCUUAAUUAAGGAGUUAAAAAAAAAAAAAAAAAAAAACAUUGGGCUCAACCAGAUGGUCGAAGGGCCAGCUAGGGUUCUAAUUUUGCAGGCCCGUGCUUGUAUUAAAAAAUUGGAUCGCAGUUCAAGGCCCAAUUAUUAAUCUUAAUUUUUAAUUUUAUUUUUCUAAUACACAUGUUUUUAAUGUAAGGGGUGUGUUUUGCAUUGUAUUACAUUGUAUUAUAUUAAUCUGUAAUGUAAUAUUAUACUUAGUGUAGUACGGAUUAUAUUACUUAAAAUAAUAAAUUUUAUUUUAAUUUAAUAUUGUUGUUCAAUUAAAAUUUUACGAUUCAUUUUUAUUUUAUUACUAUUUAUAUUGAAUAAUAAUUUAAAUUUAUAUAAUUAAAAUAAACAAUUUUCACUGCCAGUCACCAUAAACUGUGGCCGGCUGCUAUGGGCCAUACUUUAGUGUUAUUUGAACUAUAUUUUGGUAUCAUUAAAAUUCUUAUUAUUGGGACUCGCAAUGGUGCAAUUAUUACUUAAAAGGAAAUUUUCAUUUGCCAUAGAUCUAUAUUCAAAGUCUCGGUUUUUUUUUAUUAUAUUGUAAAUUUACGUCGAAUGGAAGCUUUUCUACUAAUAAUAAUUGCACCAUAGUGGGUCUCGACAAUAAAAAUUCUAAUAUUACCAAAUUUUUGUGUAAAACACGAUGUUAUGUGGUGGCCACAGGUAGUCGGUAGCCGUUGAACUGUCGCUGACAGUUCAUUAGCACUAGCCGCGACAUAUUUAAGUUUUUAAUUUUAUUUAGUAUUAUGUAUUUUUAUUCAUUUUUAUUAUUUUAAUUAAAGAAACUCAAAACAAAAAAGCUAAUGUGAAUAGUGCCAUAUCACACAAACUCGAUCCCUCCUUAUGCUCAUUUUAAUAUGCAACUCUUAGAAUAUAAUUAGGCCAUUGUACUUUUUAGGAUUAUAAUAUUUAUGGAAUAAAUCAUUUAAUACAAUGCCGAUCAUUUGUAUAAGAAUUUCCAUGCGAGCUAAAAGAAGCUUUUGUUUUGUCUAAGCAUCAAAGCAUCAUUUCUUCCAAAAACACUAGGAAACAAGCCAAAUCACUCAUCUCACAAGCAACAACUUCUUUUUGCAUUGUAGAUAAACUGCUAAAAGAGACUUUGGCUCAAUAUUUUCACAUUCCAUUAAUAUAUUUCUGACGGUACAAGAAUAUUUUAGGAAUUUCAAGAUAUUCAAUACUUUAAGAAUUUUACAAGUUAUAUUAUACAUUUAUAAUUUUAUCAAUUAAUUAUCUUGAAUGUAUAAAAUAAUCAUUUGAUUAAAGUAAAAUUUCUUUGUAUAUAAUUAAUUUUGUAUUUUUUUAAUUUAGAAGGUUAAAUUACACUUAUACAGUUUAGGGAUAAAAUAAACUUUUGUAAUAAAAAAAUUUAUUAGCUUUAACGGUUUAGUAGUAAAAUGAUAAAAUUGAAACAUUAAGUGGGAAAAAUUAAAUAUUAGAAAACUUUGAUGGUAAAGUGAUAUAACAAAAAACAUUAGCGGAUAAAAUGAUAACAUAAUAAUAGGUGGUAAAAAGAUAAUAUCCCAUAUUUCUAUUUAAAAAAAUAAAAAUUAGAGUUUCAUUUGAACUCUACUAUAUUCACAAGUUAAAUUUUUAUAUAUUUGGAUCCGUUUAGAAUUUAGAUGCUUUCGAACUUUAGACUAGAGGAAAAAAAAGGACAUGCAAUAAAAAAGAAUGUAAAUAAAUAAAUUAAUUAAAAACAAGCUGACGUGUAAAUGGUAUCGUGUCCAAAUUGAAUUAUUAAUGUUUUCCAGACUCCAUACAUGAUGCAUAUUGUGACCUUUUUUUUUUGGGAUGCAUUAUUAAUGUUCUGGUGGAUGAAUAUUGAUUUUUGAAUUGGAUGACUCCUCUGCUUCUGGGAAACCAAUUCAAUGAUUCUUGCUAAUACGCUGUGGUGAAUACUUGUCUUUAUAACUUAUUAAUUACAUAUGUUCAGAUAAAGGAUUCAAUGAUGAAAUUAAGAUGAACGUGAAGCAAGUAAUUUACAUCAUUUUGAUGUAACAGAGGAACUUUAUGGACUCAGGAUCUUUGAUAGCAUGGGGUUAAAUUAUAAAUUUAUUGCAUACAUUUUUAUGAAAGUGAGUGCAUAUAAAAAAAAAAAUACGUAUAUUAAGUAAUGCAACAUCAAAAAAUAUUAUUCUAAACAAAAUAUAUAUAAUUAAUAAAAUUAGUCUCAUAUUCAAUUAAAAUGACGGAUUACUCUUUUAAUAUUGAAGUCUAAAGGUCACUUUAUAAGAGUAAAUUAGCUUUAAAUAGUGUUUCUGCUAUUUUUAUAGAAAUAGAUUCAAGAACAUAUAUGAAAAAAUAGUAGUGGAACUUUUUGAAAGUGAAUCUGGGCACCUUUUAAAAGGCACACCCUCAACUCUUUGAUUUAGCUGAACAAAAAUUAAAGUGAGAUGACAAAAUAAUUGAAUAAAAAUUAAAACACUUGUCAUUUCGUCAAAUAUGCAUCAUAAUUUCACAUUUAAUAUCUCCUCUCUGUUUGAGGUCCCUUUAAUAAACCAAUAAAAUAAUUAAGCAUCUGUAUAAAAGAAUUCCCACAAUAAAUUGUUUGUUUUAAUAGCUUUAAUCUCUAAAAUAAAUGAGGAAAAAUCCUAGUAGGCUGGCCAAAAUUUGUCACUACAUAUGAGAAAGCUCAGAAAUUUCAAGAAGCUUUAAUGUUGAGACCUUCAAAUCCAUCGCAAAACAGCUAAAGGAAUUAACAGUCUCCAUCAACAAAUAGUAUGUAUGUAUAUAUGUAUGUAUAUAUGUAUGUACGCAUGUGUAUGUACAUUAUACGGAAUAAAACUAAUUUUUUUAGGAAUAUUAUCAUCUUACUACUUAAUUGGUUUUUGACAAUUACUCAUCUCACUUGAUGUUUCAAUUUUUAUCAUUUUUCCACUAAAUUGUUAAAUUCAUUAAUAAAUUACUAGUGUCACAAGAAUAUAUUAGGAAUUUCAUUAUAUUCAAUAUUUUAAGAAUUUUACAAAGUUCAGUAUUUAUAACUUUAUCAACUAAUUAUUUUAAAUGUAUAAAAUAAUCAAUUGAUAAAAGUAUAAUUUCUUUGUAUAUAAUUAAUUUUUUUUUAAUUUAGAGAGUUGAAUUACAUUUACAUAGUUUGUGGAUAAAAUAAACUUUUAUUAUAAAUUUUGUCAAAAAUUUUAUUAAUUUUAGCGGUUUUGUAGUAAAAUGAUAAAAUUGAAACAUAAAAUAAAAAAUUAAUUAUAAAAAAACUUUGAUGAUAAAGUGAUAUGUUAGAAGACAUUAAGUAAUUAAAUUAUAAUAUAAAUAUAUAAUAGUGGGUGGUAAAAUGACAAUAUUCUAUAUUUUAAUGUAAAAAUUAGCGUUUCAUGAACUCUACUAUAUUCAGAAGUUAACUUUAUAUAUUUGGAUCCUAGAAUUUUAGACGCAUUCAAAUUUUAGAUUAGAGAAAGAGAGAGAGAGGGGCAAGCAACAAAAAAGAAUGCAAAUAAAUAAAUAAAGAGUUCUGCUAUUGGAAUUCUGCGACGACAAAGGGACGACAGAAACGUGGGUGGGUCCCUUUGUCUGUUACUUCAUCUGCAGUCACCAUCUCUCUUUGUCUGUUACUUUUUUGAUUUAAAAAAUAAAAUAAUCAAAAGAAAGAAACAAAAGUAACGAAAGAGAUGACUUUUUUACAAUUAAUUUUUCUUGUUGUCCCCUCUCUCUCCAUCUCUCACCUCUCAUUUACUCAACGUGAGCUAUCUGCAUUUAGGAAGGAAAAUCAGUUCCCUCUUUGCAUUUGCAUCUCCGGUAACAAGAAGUGGACGUCGUCCGGUAACGAAGCAAAUGGGGCUGGGCGAGAAAAAAAAAAAAAGAAGGGGCUCAGCGAGAACAAGAAGCGGCUGUCGUCCAGGGAGAGUCCGGUAACGAAGCAAAUGGAGGGGGAGUAAAAUGAGUGGAGGGGGAGUAAACUAAGCAAAGAAAAAUAAGUGGUUGGGGCGGGGGAGAAAUGACCAACUUUCCAUUCCUUUUUUCUUUAUUUUAAUUUUUCUUGUGGGUCCACGCAAGAUUAAAAGAAACAGAACUCAACGCGUGAAACGGCAAUUGAACGCUGCAUUUCUGUCGUCCUUUUGUCUUCUUUGAGCUCGUUUAUCAUUUUCCAUAAAUAAAUUGCAAACGAGCUGACGUGUCAAUGGUAUCGUAUCCAAAUUGAAUUGUUAAUGUUUUCCAGAUUCCAUAUAUUAUACAUAUUUUGACGUUUUUUUUUUUCUUGGACACAUUAUUCAGGCAAUGCAAUGCAAGCACAAACGUCACAUAUAUCCUCCAAUCCCUCACCUGCCCCAAAUCCAGUCUAGAUUCAAUCUUAUGUUAUCUCCAUAUCUUCACCCCCAUAAAUAAAUAUCAAGAACCACUUUUACCUCAUCAGUAGUGAAUCAAUCACCUGCAGCUGGCCAGCCAUGGGAGAAGUUGAUGAAGCUUUCGUUCAAGCCCUUGAGCACAGGCCUAAACUCUCCGUAACCGAAGCCGAAGGCAUACCCUUAAUUGAUCUCUCAGCUUUGAGCGCCACCAACACCAGUAUUAAAAACCCUGACAGUACCAUUCGUGACCUGGUUGUGGAAAUAGGCAAUGCAUGCAAGAACUGGGGGUUUUUUCAGGUGAUCAACCACGGCGUGCCCACGGAUAAGCGCCGGAGCAUAGAAAAUAUGGCGAGGAAGUUUUUCGAGCAGCCGUUGGAGGAGAAGAGGAAGGUGAGGAGAGAUGAGAAGAAGGUGGUGGGGUAUUAUGACACCGAGCAUACCAAAAAUGUUAGAGAUUGGAAAGAAGUGUUUGAUUUUGUCGUGGAGAGCCCUUGUUUGAUGCCAACUUCACCUGAUCCUGAGGACAAGGAAAUAGCUGAGACGUACAAUCAGUGGCCUGAUUAUCCUCCUGAAUUCAGGUAAAGUUCAUUUCUUACAUUGUGAUGGUGAAAUUAAUUUUAAUACUUGAGUACUAUGACUUGGAGAGAAUUCUAAAUUUAAAAGAGAAUUCUGAUCCUUUAAUAUGCAAGUCAAUCGAAAGAGAGUUUGUACUUUUUUUAAAACACCUAAUGGGCAUUUUAAUUAGUGUCUUUGUGCUAUCGAAUUUAAUAAGCUUCAAAGUUAAGAAAAUCUAAAUUGGUGACCUGAAUUUUCUCAUGGUGGAGGAUAGUCACAAUAUAUAGUCCAUAAGAGGUAUUUGUCGGCAAAAUAAACUACCAUAAGCAGUUGAGUAGUGUUGAGUACCACUCAAAUAAUUUUAAUUGGUUGUUGGUCAAUUUGAAAGCUCGUAAUAAUAUUUUGGAGCCAAGCAUGCUCUGAUUAAUGCAAAAUUUAAUGUAGCAAUUAUAGUAUUCAUUUAUUUAUUUACUUUUGGCAUAUGCUUGACAGAGAG